rnacentral:rRNA from 1 species
AAAGAAACCAACAGGGAUUGCCUUAGUAGCGGCGAGUGAAGCGGCAAAAGCUCAAAUUUGAAAUCUGGCACUUUCAGUGUCCGAGUUGUAAUUUGAAGAAGGUAUCUUUGGGUCUGGCUCUUGUCUAUGUUUCUUGGAACAGAACGUCACAGAGGGUGAGAAUCCCGUGCGAUGAGAUGUCCCAGACCUAUGUAAAGUUCCUUCGAAGAGUCGAGUUGUUUGGGAAUGCAGCUCUAAGUGGGUGGUAAAUUCCAUCUAAAGCUAAAUAUUGGCGAGAGACCGAUAGCGAACAAGUACAGUGAUGGAAAGAUGAAAAGAACUUUGAAAAGAGAGUGAAAAAGUACGUGAAAUUGUUGAAAGGGAAGGGCUUGAGAUCAGACUUGGUAUUUUGUAUGUUACUCUCUCGGGGGUGGCCUCUACAGUUUACCGGGCCAGCAUCAGUUUGAGCGGUAGGAUAAGUGCAAAGAAAUGUGGCACUGCUUCGGUAGUGUGUUAUAGUCUUUGUCGAUACUGCCAGCUUAGACUGAGGACUGCGGCUUCGGCCUAGGAUGUGCAAAUGAUCUUAAGU